rfam:Frigoribacterium sp. Leaf172 contig_2, whole genome shotgun sequence.
GGGCCUUUAGCUCAGUUGGUAGAGCGCCACGUUUACACCGUGGAUGUCAUCGGUUCGAGCCCGGUAGGGCCCA